CUAGGGUCGAGGUGGCAGAUCGCACGGUUGAAGAAAAGCGAGAAAAGGAAGGGGGAAUGAAAAAGAAAAAGAGAAGAGAUGUAGGCGAUCGGGAGAGGCGUCUGUGGAAUGUGGAAAUUGAUCUGCGGCGGUGUUGGAAAACAGAAAGAGAGAGAGAGUUGGAUUGGAUGCCAUGGGUCGGAGGGAGAAAGAUCAAGAUCAAGAUCGAGGAUCAGGAGGAGAGAAGCACGCUGGGCUUCUGAGAUUGGCCCAACUCGUAACAUUUCUGGUGGUGUUUGCGGGAGGAGUGGUGAUUGGUCUGACAACAAGCUCUCACAUCAAUAGCCAGAAUUUGAUAUCGCAGCCGUACCAGUACAUAUCAGUGCGUAACGUUCCAUCUCCAUCUGAGAAUGAUGAGCUUGAGAGCUUCCUUCAUCCCCUUAACCUGUCCCACAGGUUUUCCGACGAGGAACUGUUCUGGAGGGCUUCUCUUAUGCCGAAGAAAGAAUCGUACCCUUACGCCAGAGUCCCCAAGGUGGCCUUCAUGUUCCUCACAAGGGGUCCCCUUCCCAUGUUGCCCCUCUGGGAGCGUUUCUUCCACGGCCACUCCUCUCUCUUCAGCAUCUACAUCCAUGCCCCUCCCCGCUACACUCUCAACAUCUCCCACUCUUCCCCUUUCUACCUCCGCAACAUCCCUAGCCAGGAUGUUUCUUGGGGUACCUUUACCCUCGCCGAUGCCGAGAGGCGCCUUUUAGCCAAUGCCCUUCUCGACUUCUCCAAUGAACGCUUUCUUCUCCUCUCCGAGACUUGCAUCCCUGUCUACGACUUCCCUACUGUUUACCGUUAUCUCACUCAUUCCUCCCUCAGCUUUGUUGAAUCUUAUGAUGAACCUACUCGUUAUGGCCGCGGUCGCUACAGUCGCCACAUGCUUCCUCAUAUUCAUCUUCGACACUGGCGCAAGGGCUCUCAGUGGUUUGAACUCAACCGUUCUCUCGCUGUUUAUAUUGUCUCCGACACCAAAUAUUACUCCCUUUUCCGCAAAUACUGUAAGCCUGCUUGCUACCCUGAUGAACAUUACAUCCCUACCUUCCUCCACAUGUUCCAUGGUUCGCUUAAUUCUAACAGAACUGUCACUUGGGUUGACUGGUCAAUGCUGGGCCCUCAUCCUGCAACCUUUGGGAGAGCUAAUAUAACUGCUGCUUUUUUACAGUCUAUUAGGAACAAUGGUUCCCUUUGUCCAUAUAAUUCAGAGAUGACGUCCAUUUGCUACCUCUUUGCUCGCAAGUUUGAUCCAAGUGCACUCGAGCCCUUGCUUAACCUUUCUUCAGAAGUCAUGAACUUUUGAACCUUUUUUUUUUUUUUUUUUUUAGUGUACAACUAGGAGACUUGAUUUUUUUUACUUAUUUUUUCGGUCUCUACAUUUUGGUAGAGAAUUUAACAACUUCACUACAAAAUCAUUUUGCAUUGUAACAUCUGUACAGAUGUUGUUAGAGAUUUUUGUGUUCUCUGCUAGAGAAUAGCAUAUCAAUAUCAAUAAACAAUACAAUUGAAUAUGUUUUUCAACACUAUGGGUCACUAUUCAUUCAUUCAGUGUUUCUCAAUUGUGCCUUUUUCUAUUCAUUGGAAAUGGCAUGAUGCUGUAUGGAGCAGAGACUCACCUAGACUGAGGAUGAGUAUCGAAGAAGAAUCAUUUUAAAAUUUCAAUUCAGAUUCAGUCAAUUAUCAAGUGUUCUCUCUUCUUCUCUGAACUUCUCUAUUGCAUGUUUUCUUUGCCUUCUUGUUGGGUGGUGGGGGGGUUUUGUUGAAUUGAUGGUACUGGAAAUUGAUGGUGUUUGUGAUGAUGUUGGGUGUGUGGGCCGUUGAAGGAAGUGGUCAGAUGUGUUAGAGGUGUAGACACGUUGUGGUCAAAGAUUUGCUGGUGGGUUUCAUGGAAGAUUUGCCAGUGGGGUUUCAUGGGUCUGCAUAUUUCAUCGAAGAUUCGUAGUGGAAUCUUGAACUGGGUGGUAAGUGUAAGCUGCCGGAUGGUAAGUGUAAGCUGCCGGAUGGUAUUUGUACAUUUGAGCAUUGGAAGUGAGGCAGUGCCUGAAGGAAUUAUUGCUAGAAUAUCUAACUUGGAAAUGCAGCCCUUAUGGGACUCUGGUAAAGAUAAUGUAUGUGAAAUGUGUGCUUAAUUCUACUCCUUCACUUAUUCUAUAGAAAUUCACUUAAGACUCUUAUAGUGUUAAUCUUAUGCAUCACAAAAUAAAAUGUUGCUAAUCAACUGUACAAUUAUUUUUAUUUUUAAAAUGUGCUUUCCCGUUCUGGGAGAAUGGUAGUGUGCACAAUGAUGAGGUGUUGCUGAAAGAAAAUGAUGACUUGCAUGUUGUGAACAAUUGUAUUUGUUUUGUAAAUUGCCAGAUUGUGCAGAUCAGACUAGAGGAUAACAGUAACUUGCUACGUUAGGUGGAAUAGUUUGUUAUUUUCUUAUGCCUUAAAAAAACAUAAAUCUUGCUCUCAGAAAAUGUUUAUGUAUAAGAUUAUGAGUAGCAUGAUGAAUUCAAAAGAAAGGAGCAUAGUAUUGUGGCUAUAUUACUGGUAUCUAAUAUCUAUAUGGUAUGACUACUGGUGGGUAGAAUUACAAUGAAUGAACAAUAAAGACUGAAACGAAAAAAGACAACACAUGGUAUUCAAGAGACCCUGCACUCUAUGUCACUGUCCUCUACUUAUUCCCUGCCUCUCUCUUCACUCAAUCCCCUGUCUUAUAGGCAUACAAGUCAAGUUUCCCUCUUGAUUCCCUUGAUUGCCUUUCAUGUGAUCAUUUACAUUAAGCAUUUGGCUCUCUUUGAUUGCCUCUCUUUGUUCUUUCCUAAUAUAAAUAAACUUUAGUAACAUAUGGUUGCUUAACAAAGAUCCACUGAUUAAAAGGGUCUAGCUUAGGAAAUAAGAGGAAUACUAGGGGAUUAGGACCCAAUUCUGUUAAUGACAGAAGAACUGCUUGUAUUCUUCAAUCAAUCAGUAAUUAAAGGGAAUAAGGGGAGUUCGUUUGAGUCAGUUGAGGGUUGCGAGAAGGAAGUUGGCCUUGGAAGGGAGAGCUCUUGAAUACCUGGGAGUUAGAACAUCAUGUCAUUUGGGAUCUCUGGUUUUGCAUCAUACUGAUACUGAUCAGAGUGGUUUCUGUAAUAAAUAUCUGUUGCUCUACCUAUUUCUGAUCUGGAUCUAUUAGUAAAAAUCCUGCUAAUUUUAUAGGUUGAUUAUGUCUACUUUAUUAAUUUUAUUUCUAUGCAUCACUUUUUCAAUUUUUAUUUUUGGGCUACAGAGUAUUUUAAAGCGCCCAUUGAACUUGUUGGCUAUGACAGUAGGACUUAAGCAGAAAGAAAUUGUCGACAAAAUUGUUGAAAAGGUGAUUAUUUAUUCACUGAUACAAUUUGGCUUUGAUCUAAUACUCACUAUAUCUGCUGACUCAUAUUGCUGAUGGUGGUUCUUGUCAAGUGACUUUGUUGUGAUUCUUUUUCACCAUGAUGGUUUUGUGGAUGGAUGGAAGAGUUCAGCUUGGAGUAGUUGUGUCGUACUUGUAUCUGCUAUCAAUCAAACAAAAUGGUAUAAUCUAUUGAGUGAAUUUGUUUUCCUUAAUUUUAGUAACCUAUUCUGAAGAUUAAAUUCAUGGAUAACUACCGAGUGAAAUAGUGCUAUAUGAUGGCAUAGGUGGUUUGCGAAGCGGUUUUUGCAUCCAGACAUAGUUGCUGAAUACAUUUAUGUAUUUCUUUGGGAUGAGGACCUUCUUGUUGAUAAUUUUGAGACAAAAAUUUCAUAACCUAUUCUGAAGAUUAAAUUCGUGAAUAAUUAUUGAGUGAAAUAGUGCUAUAUGAUGGCAUAGGUGGUUUGUGAAACGGUUUUUGCAUCCAGACAUAGUUGCUGAAUACAUUUACGUAUUUCUUUGGGAUGAGGACCUCCUUGUUCUUGUUGAUAAUAUUGACACCAAAAGGUAAGCCUUUUUUUCUUUUUUAUUUUUUUAUUUUAUAAAAUUUCUCAGGGAGACUUGGAUAAAUUUAGAGGUCUAAGUUGACUAUAUUAGAUGAAAAGUGGCAAAUUCUUUUUCUUUUUUUGUUUAUGGCGAUUAGUUUAUGCCUCGUGUAUGACCUGUUGAUUAUUUGGUAGGUAUUUAUCUAUUGUUAUAGAAGAGGCAAGUGAGAUAUCGCAGCCAUAUUAUUUAUAAUGAUGAAGUUAGAAUCGAAUAAUUACUCAAUCCCUUGAUUAUAGGGAUGAGAUAAUCUGAUAUCAAAACUGAUACAAAUAAAAAUAGUAACUAAACAAGAAUGAUAAUAACGGAAAGAUAUAAACAAAUUUGAUAAUAACAGAAAGAUAUAAAUCAGAUUUGAAUCUCAACAGAAUUCAGCAUGAUUUCUUCUUUUGUGAUUAUGUAUUCAUAUUCAUGUAAUAAUCUUUCGGUCUACAAAAUGACUUAAUCCAUGCCUGGGACAGGACAGGCAGCUUGGCUAUUGUGCACAGGUAACUUGCUUGCACCACAAGAACCUAUUCAUUUUUUACCAAAUCCUUCCAAUGUGGUUGUUAUUCAUCUCUCGACAAUAUUUCAGGGUGAUUGCAUGAGAAAUAUUGGUGUGGUUUAUUCUGAGUACAUAGUUCAUCUGGGUCCUCUUGGGGACUCAAUUGGCAACGAGGCAAGUGAUUUUCAUUUCUACAUGCAGUGUAACUUGAAGAUAAUGGUCGCAUAAAGAUUUGUUAUGCUUGUAGUAAUGCACUACUAUCAACUUUAAAAUGUUUGAAUUAAAUCUCAUUUGUUUGCAGGUCCAGGUAAAUAUAACUGUGUUUUGAUUUUACAGAGUCUAAUUAUUAAUAAAGGGUUUUGUCCUUUGGGUUGCAGGUGCAAUCAGACUCCCCAGGAGAUAAUAGAGCUAAAUCAAGUAUGCAGUCAUACAUUGGAAUGCAGGUUUUCGGUAAAAGGUGGAAAGAUGCAGCAGGGAGACAAAUGUUGGAUUGAUUCACAUGAACAGGCAAACAAGACGAGUCAUUAGUGUAUUUUGUGAGGCUUUAACUGAUCAAAAUCCAAGUACAGUGUCCAUGUUCAUAAUCAGCGUUUCUGAUUGACACAUGUCACAUGGCAUCCGAUUUUGGUUUGUAGUCUUAGUGCUUUUGAUUUGAUAUCUCAGGUGUGGGAACUCGUAAGUGUUUGCAGAACAUUGCUUCCUUUACCAUCAUUUUACUUUCGGUUUGUCAUCAAGCUAUUCAUUUCCUUAAAUAUUGGUGUACAUAGGGUGGUAUAGAGUUGUUUAUAUGGCAGCAGAAAAAUGCGAGGCAUAGAUUUUUUUCAUCCGUGAAGGUCAAUGUAAAUCGGUUGCUUGUAUGAAUCAAUCUAAAAUUUUCUCGGCUCCAAUUAGCUCUACACCUUAUUCUUGGUAUA